rnacentral:lncRNA from 1 species
CAGAAGUCAGGUGAGUUCCCUGCUGGUUCUUGGCCUUCUUCCCUUCACUCCAGGGCCCUCCAGCCUACCCACUCCCAAGUACCUGGAAGAAGCUCUCCACGUGUUCCCUUGGGGCCUCCUCCCGGAGUGCAGGGUCAUACAGGUUGAAGGCCCAAUUAAGCCUGUCAUCUACAGUUCCCCGAAGAAUCACGGACAAACCAGCCACAAAGUCCUGGGAAGGAGGCAGGAGGGAGCUGUGUCCUCGGGUACUCUUCACCCAACUCCUUCUCUGGGUUUGGCCUGGAGAUCCUGGCCCUGAACUCCAGGAAACAGGCUUCCCUGGCCCACCUCGCCCAGCUCACCUCAAAACUGACCGAGCCAUCAUGGUUGGUGUCAAAGGCAUUGAAGAGAAAAGUGGCAUAGGUGCUGGAGUCUGCAGGCCUAGAGAAGGACAACUGCUUCCCCUUGGGCCUUGUCCCCUCACCUCCUUGAGGAAAGAACUGGGAGUAAAUCUGCUUGAAGUUCUCCUCAUUGACAAUUCCGCUGGGACAUUCCUGGAAGGAGAGGGCACCAGGCUGAGGGCAGAGACAAAAUCCCCUUCCGUUCACCGCCCCCACCCUCCAUGGCCCAAGACUCCCAGGGAGGGGGAUAAUCUUCAAGCCUCCAGAGGACUCACCACGUGGCUCAUGUGAUGGGAGGGAAGACUUCUUUCCCAGUGCACAAAUAAAAAACAUGGAACGAAACUG